CCCUGCCCAGAACCCCUCUGCCAGCCACUGACAGAAGUGCGGACUUCGUGGGGCCAAGGAAUCCUCCGGGGGUGAAAAGCCUGGCCUCGGAUCCUUCCUGAGACCCAGAGGCCGAACGCCUGAAAGAGAGUGUCAUUCAAGUCCUUCUGCUCACGACUGAAUCUGAGGAGAGGCAACAUCUUUGUGAUGCUCCAGUCUUUCCCAGAUGUCUUAGUUUAGAAGACCUGUGGGGUGUGCUGGAAAGGAGGACCGGAGGAGGAGAUUGGCAAUGCUUCAGCGACUGCCCUGUGAACGAACAUCCUGGGUCCCCAAGUGAAGACAGGGAGCAGAGCCCAGCCGACUUGGGCUGGACAUGGUGGGCACACUACCCCUCUCUUCCUUUAAGCUUUGAGCUGUUUGGCAGGUGCAGGGAAUGAAGAACCUUGCAUGAGGACUGUGGCGCUCAUCUUCAGGGAAGGAGCCACCUUUAGUUAAGGUACGAGUCGGAGGUGUCGCCCGAUGGUGGUUGGCAUCAAUUCAGACGCCUACAGGAAUUCCCAAUUUGGGGUGCAGUGAAUAAGGAAAAUUUAUUUUGUGAAAACGGUUUGAUGGUAAUACAGCAUGGCUGUGAGGCUGACCCAGGGCCAGGCCCCUCUUUAGCUAGGCAG